AACUAACGCUGGCGGCGUGCCUAACACAUGCAAGUCGUACGAGAAAGUUGGCUUCGGCCGAUGAGUAAAGUGGCGCACGGGUGAGUAAUGCGUGGAUAAUCUGCCCUUUAGUUGGGAAUAACGUACCGAAAGGUGCGCUAAUACCUGAUAAUACUGCAUAACUACUGUUGUGUAGUCAAAGAAGGCCUCUGUUUACAAGCUUUUGCUGAAGGAUGAGUCCGCGUACCAUUAGCUGGUUGGUGGGGUAAUGGCCUACCAAGGCUACGAUGGUUAGCUGGUCUGAGAGGAUGAUCAGCCACACUGGAACUGAGACACGGUCCAGACUCCUACGGGAGGCAGCAGUGAGGAAUAUUGCGCAAUGGGGGCAACCCUGACGCAGCAACGCCGCGUGAGUGAGGAAGGUUUUCGGACCGUAAAGCUCUGUCGAGCGGGAAGAAAUGUAUCAUGGCUAAUAUCCAUGAUACUUGACGGUACCGCUAAAGG
rnacentral:rRNA from 1 species